GAUGAACGCUGGCGGCGUGCCUAAUACAUGCAAGUCGAGCGAACGGACGAGAAGCUUGCUUCUCUGAUGUUAGCGGCGGACGGGUGAGUAACACGUGGAUAACCUACCUAUAAGACUGGGAUAACUUCGGGAAACCGUAGCUAAUACCGGAUAAUAUUUUGAACCGCAUGGUUCAAAAGUGAAAGACGGUCUUGCUGUCACUUAUAGAUGGAUCCGCGCUGCAUUAGCUAGUUGGUAAGGUAACGGCUUUCCAAGGCAACGAUGCAUAGCCGACCUGAGAGGGUGAUCGCCCACACUGGAACUGAGACACGGUCCAGACUCCUACGGGAGGCAGCAGUAGGGAAUCUUCCGCAAUGGGCGAAAGCCUGACGGAGCAACGCCGCGUGAGUGAUGAAGGUCUUCGGAUCGUAAAACUCUGUUAUUAGGGAAGAACAUAUGUGUAAGUAACUGUGCACAUCUUGACGGUACCUAAUCAGAAAGCCACGGCUAACUACGUG
rnacentral:rRNA from 1 species